CGCAUCUGUGCAUGCAGCAUAUCAAUAAGCGGAGGAAAAGAAACUAACAAGGAUUCCCCUAGUAACGGCGAGUGAAGCGGGAAGAGCUCAAAUUUGAAAUCUUAAAGGGUUUCCCUUUACGAAUUGUAGUUUAAAGAAGUGUUUUCUGUUGAGGUUUUGGUAAAAGUUCUUUGGAAUAGGACAUCAUAGAGGGUGAGAAUCCCGUAUUUGACCUUUACUUUCAACUUUGUGAUACACUUUCAAAGAGUCGGAUUGUUUGGGAAUGCAGUCCAAAAUGGGUGGUAAAUUUCAUCUAAAGCUAAAUAUUGGCGAGAGACCGAUAGCGAACAAGUACCGUGAGGGAAAGAUGAAAAGAACUUUGAAAAGAGAGUUAAACAGUACGUGAAAUUGUCAAAAGGGAAGCGUUUGACACCAGUGUUGUUUUUCUGAAAAUCAAUUAAAGAACUGUUUAUGCUAAGUUGUUUAGACUUUAUCAGCUAAUCUGUUUAGUUUUGAGCUUUUCUUUAAUGCACUUUUCAGUUAACAAGUCAACAUCAAUUUCUUUUGCUGUAAAAAAGCUUGAGGAAGGUGGCUUGAGAUUCGUCUUAAGUGUUUAUAGCCUCUUGCCUAUGCAGUCGGAGAGAUUGAGGUCUGCAGCGUAGAUCCUUCGGGGCUAAAUGCAUUUGUGCUAAGUUAUAGCAUUUUAUAGACAACUUGUUGACUAUGAUUUGUCUUGUAGCUUACUCGCUUAUGUUAUUUUACCUACGCUUAGGAUGUUGAGUCAUCACACAUCUCU
rnacentral:rRNA from 1 species